rnacentral:lncRNA from 1 species
AAGCGGAAGAAGAUGAUGUUGAAGGGAUUCCUGACGAGAUUUCCCGACUUCUUGAGCAAGAAAAGAAGAUCACUCAGCUGCAUCUCGAGAAUCAGCAGAACAGCCAACUGGGGCAUCAAAAAAAAGAGGGAAAAAAACAACAACAAAAAAAGAGGAGGGUGCAAAAUCCAAGGAAAAAGAAAUCAAAAGAAAGAAAAAGAAAGAAAGAAA